ACAGAUAGAGAUAACUCAUACUGUUGAGUUCGAAUUAGCGCACUUAUGGAGUGCUGUCCAGCAAGCUGCCGAGGCAUGUCGCUAUUGAAAGAGGAGUCGAGGUCGAUCCUGUAAAAAAAAUAAAAAAAUAAAAAUAAAAAUAAAAAAAAAUAAAAAAUAAAAAAAAAGGAACAGUACUAGAAACGCCUGAACCAUAAACAAAC
rnacentral:lncRNA from 1 species